GCAAACUUGGUCAUUUAGAGGAAGUAAAAGUCGUAACAAGGUUUCCGUAGGUGAACCUGCGGAAGGAUCAUUAAAAAAAUUAUAUCCAUCAAUCUACCUCUUGGUGUGCAACUAUUGAAAAUAAGUUAGUCUUUGGGAGAUGGUAAUUUUUCCAUCUCCCAGAGGUAAUUUUUAUUAUUAUGGACUUAAAUGUUGUAUAAUAACAAUAUAAUAUAAAACAACUUUCAACAACGGAUCUCUUGGCUCUCGCAUCGAUGAAGAACGCAGC
rnacentral:misc_RNA from 1 species